ACCUGGCUGGCUCAGUCAGUAGAGCAUGUGACUCUUAAUCCCAGGGUCACGAGUUCAAGCCCCAUGUUGGGUG
rnacentral:tRNA from 1 species